GCCAGACUCCUACGGGAGGCAGCAGUGGGGAAUAUUGCACAAUGGGGGAAACCCUGAUGCAGCGACGCCGCGUGAGUGAAGAAGUAUUUCGGUAUGUAAAGCUCUAUCAGCAGGAACGAGACAAGACGGUACCUGACUAAGAAGCCCCGGCUAACUACGUGCCAGCAGCCGCGGUAAUACGUAGGGGGCAAGCGUUAUCCGGAAUCACUGGGUGUAAAGGGAGCGUAGACGGCUGUGCAAGCCUGAAGUGAAAGGCGGGGGCCCAACCCCUGGACUGCUUUGGGAACUGUACGGCUGGAGUGCAGGAGAGGUAAGUGGAAUUCCUAGUGUAGCGGUGAAAUGCGUAGAUAUUAGGAGGAACACCAGUGGCGAAGGCGGCUUACUGGACUGUAACUGACGUUGAGGCUCGAAAGCGUGGGGAGCAAACAGGAUUAGAUACCCCGGUAC
rnacentral:rRNA from 1 species